CAGCACCUCAAGUGGUCAGGAUGAUUAUUGGGCCUAAAGCAUCCGUAGCCGGCGCUGGAAGUUUUCGGUUAAAUCUGUACGCUCAACGUACAGGCUGCCGGGAAUACUGCAGCGCUAGGGAGUGGGAGAGGUAGACGGUACUCGGUAGGAAGGGGUAAAAUCCUUUGAUCUAUUGAUGACCACCUGUGGCGAAGGCGGUCUACCAGAACACGCCCGACGGUGAGGGAUGAAAGCUGGGGGAGCAAACCGGAUUAGAUACCCGAGUAGUCC
rnacentral:rRNA from 1 species